AGGCAACAGGCAAAGUCUCGACACAAACUGUACUAGACUGGUAAGAGUUUUUCAUAUUUACAUUGCUCAAAGAAAAGAGCUAUGCUUCCCUUCUGGCUUAGGUUGCUCUGUCUGUUGUGCUCUGGCACUGGAUAUUGAUGAUUUAUUUUUUCAGCUUUGUCAACAAGCUGACCACUUUGCAAGGAAAGAAUCCCAGCAGUGGGUUGUUCUUAUCAACUGGGAUCACCAAGAGAUCAAAACUGCAUUUUCCACUCAUUUUGGAUGCCACAGCCCGAGAACCAUGCCCACAGCUCCCACAGAAAGAAUGUCAAGAGAUGGAGGACAAUUAAUCCUUACAAAAGCAGCCAUGAAGUCCCGGAAUGUGCAGGAUUGCCACGUGGCUCCGCUGAGACCAGUCACUAGCAGCAGCAGUUCCCAAACCAAAACAACAGAAUCAUUAAUCUGA
rnacentral:lncRNA from 1 species